ACUAAAGAUCUACUAUAUUUGGUGACUCGUCAGACUCAUGCAUUAUACUAAAAAGCAAAAUAAACAACUAAAAGGAAAUAAAAAGAAAUAAACUAUCUAAAAACAGCAAAGAAAAAGCGAUAAAGGUAGAUCUACUAUAUUUGGUGACUCGUCAGACUCAUGCAUUAUACUAAAAAGCAAAAUAAACAACUAAAAGGAAAUAAAAAGAAAUAAACUAUCUAAAAACAGCAAAGAAAAAGCGAUAA
rnacentral:lncRNA from 1 species